rnacentral:rRNA from 1 species
GACGAACGCUGGCGGCGUGCUUAACACAUGCAAGUCGAACGGAAAGGCCCCUUUGGGGGUACUCGAGUGGCGAACGGGUGAGUAACACGUGAGUAACCUGCCCUUGCCUUCGGGAUAAAUUCCGGCAACUGGGGCUAAUACCGGAUAGGAAUGCUUGCUGCAUGGUGGGGGUUGGAAAGCUUCGGCCGUUUUGGAUGGACUCGCGGCUUAUCUGCUUGGUGGUUGGGGAGUGGCUUACCAAGGCUUUGUCGGGUAGGCGGCCUGAGAGGGCGACCGGCCACAAUGGGACUUGGAAACGGCCCAGACUCCCACGGGGGGCAGCAGGGGGGAAUAUUGCACAAUGGGCGGAAGCCUGAUGCAGCAACGCCGCGGGCGGGAUGACGGCCUUCGGGUUUGAAACCGGUUUCAGCAGGUGCGAAGCUGGUGGUGACGGUACCUGCAGAAGAAGCACCGGCUAACUACGUG